UUUGGAGGCGCAUGCGCUUUUGGUUCUUGAGUGGCUUCCAUUGGAAAUCUUUAUAUACGCUAGCAGUUUGGCAUAUUGCUAUUGAAGCUGAAGAAGUCCUAAAUUAUAAAACGCUCUGCAUAAUAAUCAAAAUGUCACGCAAUGUCCGGGACUGGCGUUUGGACUGCAAAGUUUAUGUUGGUGACUUGGGCUAUGGUGCAGCCAAGCAGGAACUUGAAGAGAGGUUUGGCAAGUACGGCCCACUAAGAAAUGUGUGGGUAGCACGAAAACCACCUGGUUUUGCUUUCGUGGAAUUUGAGGAUCCAAGAGAUGCUGAGGAUGCUACAAGGGCUUUAGAUGGACAGAGAGUAAAUGGACGGAGAGUGAGAGUAGAGAUGUCUUCUGGUAAAUCACGGUGGGGCAGUAGGGGCCCACCCCCAACACGAGUGGGUGGCCGGUACGAUGAUGACAAGAAAGUAAGAAGAGGACGAUCAAGGCUCUUCCAACAACCUCCCCCUCACUACAACGUAGUGUUGGUCACCCGAUACGCCCUUUGACAUCGCUACAAGUCACCGCAGGGCAUCGGCGCUUACUGCAGCCCCAGUCUGCAUUGCAAAUUCAGCGUGGGACUUAACAACACAUUAGGCUGUCUCACUGAGGCUAUAUCCCCUCAAUUCCACGUUUUCACAAGCCUCUUGUCGCUGCCUCAACAAACAACCCCUUUCUUCUUGUCACCAUAACAACAUCUCACAUGUCAGCCGUUCUUCAAGCUACGAACCAGCAGGCAGCAUUUCCAACUUUAUCAUCAGCUUCCAAAUGAAAGCAACAUUUGAAGCAAUUCAUCAGACUCAUCAAAAAACUUCCUUCCUCGAAGGAUCAUUCUCGCCGAGAAGACGCUCUGCAUCACCAAGGCGUAGAAGUCGAAGUGACUCUGGAUCUCCACGUAGACGGAGCCGCAGCAGAUAAAUGAUAUGCAGAAUACAGAAUAAAGACUUUGGUUAUCUCAAGUAACUGACAUGGUACAUGUUUGAUUCGACUGAUGUCAAUGGACGUGAUUUGAUGCUAUUCACCAACCAUUAGCAGGACAGUUUGAUAAACUUGGCAUUGAUAUUGUGCCUAGGUUUUUAUGUCAUUUUAUGAUUUGUUAGAAAGUGAAAAUAGUAUUCAGGUAUUUAUCCAGGGGUAUGGUGGGUUCGAUCAUAGGCCCCUUUCCAAAAGAAAGUGGCACUGAAAAUGUUUGUACUAAAAAUUCCCAAUAUAUAUAUUUAAUUAUGUCUGUUCUGAUAAAUUAAUUUAACAGUGGUGUACUGCAUCAUUCAGUGGCCUGAAAAAUAUCCCAAGUAUGAUUUAUUUGUGCUAAUUAUCCAAAUCCGAUCGAACAUGGGACCAUGGCGAAAAAUCCUGGAUAAGUCCCUGGUAUUCCAUUAAUAUUCAUUCAUCAUUAGGAUUCAUUUUCCUCUAUGCGAUUCAAUUGCAUGCAGAUUCAUUGUUACAUCUGUUUUAAUUGUCAAACUUUUUGCAAAGUUGUUUUAAAUAUUUUUCUCAUUUACAAUAAACGUUUUUAAAAUGGAGCAAUCAAGAAUUAACCCUAUUUGAUACAGUUGUUAAUGAUUGCAUCAAAUUUUGGUACUUAUAUUCAAGUUCUGAAGUUUGUUCAAUAUACGGUAAGAUGUUGAUUUGAGUUUGAAUAGAGGAAAUCCUCGUAACAUUCUGGCAUUGAAGUAGCAUUUUUUUUAGUUAACACAAAAUAUUGAGAUACAUUUAACAAGUUUACAUUUCCCAUUAUUUUUACUAUAAAAUUCUGUAACAAAACACACUGAUACUUAAUAAUGGAUAUUAAUAUGUCACUUAACUUAAUAGUUCUUUAAUAUCGCUCCUAAUACUGACAUUUGUAUGUGUAUCUUAUUUAACUAAAAGAUAUACAUCACUUGUGUACAGAUAACCUUCUGGUAAUCUGAAUGCUAUUCUUGAUAUUUUUGGAAUAUUUUCUGCAGUACUUUUCUGUUGACUUUGAAGUUAUGGUUGUAAAUAACAAGCUUUUGUUUUAAUGUUUUCAAUUGUUUUUACAUCAUAGCAUUCUGAAAAUAAAUAAAUGUUGUAUGUACAUGCUCUGCGACAAACUUG